GAGUGUAGUGGUGUGUGUAGUGUAGUGUAGUGGUGUGUGUAGUGUAUUGUAGUGGUGUGUGUGUUGUAGUGGUGUGUGUAGUGUAGUGUAGUGGUGUGUGUAGUGUAGUGGUGUGUGUAGUGUAGUGGUGUGUGUAGUGUAGUGGUGUGUGUAGUGUAGUGGUGUGUGUAGUGUAGUGGUGUGUGUAGUGUAGUGGUGUGUGUAGUGUAGUGGUGUGUGUAGUGUAGUGGUGUGUGUGGUGUAGUGGUGUGUGUAGUGUAGUGGUGUGUGUAGUGUAGUGGUGUGUGUAGUGUAGUGGUGUGUGUAGUGUAGUGGUGUGUGUGGUGUAGUGGUGUGUGUAUGUGUAGUGGUGUGUGUAGUGUAGUGGUGUGUGUAGUGUAGUGGUGUGUGUAGUGUAGUGGUGUGUGUGGUGUAGUGGUGU
rnacentral:lncRNA from 1 species